GAUGAACGCUGGCGGCGUGCCUAAUACAUGCAAGUCGAGCGAACAGACGAGGAGCUUGCUCCUCUGACGUUAGCGGCGGACGGGUGAGUAACACGUGGAUAACCUACCUAUAAGACUGGGAUAACUUCGGGAAACCGGAGCUAAUACCGGAUAAUAUAUUGAACCGCAUGGUUCAAUAGUGAAAGACGGUUUUGCUGUCACUUAUAGAUGGAUCCGCGCCGCAUUAGCUAGUUGGUAAGGUAACGGCUUACCAAGGCAACGAUGCGUAGCCGACCUGAGAGGGGGAUCGGCCACACUGGAACUGAGACACGGUCCAGACUCCUACGGGAGGCAGCAGUAGGGAAUCUUCCGCAAUGGGCGAAAGCUUGACGGAGCAACGCCGCGUGAGUGAUGAAGGUCUUCGGAUCGUAAAACUCUGUUAUUAGGGAAGAACAAAUGGGUAAGUAACUAUGCACGGCUUGACGGUACCUAAUCAGAAAGCCACGGCUAACUACGUG
rnacentral:rRNA from 1 species